rnacentral:rRNA from 1 species
AGAGUUUGAUCAUGGCUCAGGAUGAACGCCGGCGGUGUGCCUAAUACAUGCAAGUCGAACGCGUUGGCCCAAUUGAUUGAUGGUGCUUGCACCUGAUUGAUUUUGGUCGCCAACGAGUGGCGGACGGGUGAGUAACACGUAGGUAACCUGCCCAGAAGCGGGGGACAACAUUUGGAAACAGAUGCUAAUACCGCAUAACAGCGUUGUUCGCAUGAACAACGCUUAAAAGAUGGCUUCUCGCUAUCACUUCUGGAUGGACCUGCGGUGCAUUAGCUUGUUGGUGGGGUAACGGCCUACCAAGGCGAUGAUGCAUAGCCGAGUUGAGAGACUGAUCGGCCACAAUGGGACUGAGACACGGCCCAUACUCCUACGGGAGGCAGCAGUAGGGAAUCUUCCACAAUGGGCGCAAGCCUGAUGGAGCAACACCGCGUGAGUGAAGAAGGGUUUCGGCUCGUAAAGCUCUGUUGUUAAAGAAGAACACGUAUGAGAGUAACCGUUCAUACGUUGACGGUAUUUAACCAGAAAGUCACGGCUAACUACGUGCCAGCAGCCGCGGUAAUACGUAGGUGGCAAGCGUUAUCCGGAUUUAUUGGGCGUAAAGAGAGUGCAGGCGGUUUUCUAAGUCUGAUGUGAAAGCCUUCGGCUUAACCGGAGAAGUGCAUCGGAAACUGGAUAACUUGAGUGCAGAAGAGGGUAGUGGAACUCCAUGUGUAGCGGUGGAAUGCGUAGAUAUAUGGAAGAACACCAGUGGCGAAGGCGGCUACCUGGUCUGCAACUGACGCUGAGACUCGAAAGCAUGGGUAGCGAACAGGAUUAGAUACCCUGGUAGUCCAUGCCGUAAACGAUGAGUGCUAGGUGUUGGAGGGUUCCGCCCUUCAGUGCCGGAGCUAACGCAUUAAGCACUCCGCCUGGGGAGUACGACCGCAAGGUUGAAACUCAAAGGAAUUGACGGGGGCCCGCACAAGCGGUAGAGCAUGUGGUUUAAUUCGAAGCUACGCGAAGAACCUUACCAGGUCUUGACAUCUUGCGCCAACCCUAGAGAUAGGGCGUUUCCUUCGGGAACGCAAUGACAGGUGGUGCAUGGUCGUCGUCAGCUCGUGUCGUGAGAUGUUGGGUUAAGUCCCACAACGAGCGCAACCCUUGUUACUAGUUGCCAGCAUUAAGUUGGGCACUCUAGUGAGACUGCCGGUGACAAACCGGAGGAAGGUGGGGACGACGUCAGAUCAUCAUGCCCCUUAUGACCUGGGCUACACACGUGCUACAAUGGACGGUACAACGAGUCGCGAACUCGCGAGGGCAAGCAAAUCUCUUAAAACCGUUCUCAGUUCGGACUGCAGGCUGCAACUCGCCUGCACGAAGUCGGAAUCGCUAGUAAUCGCGGAUCAGCAUGCCGCGGUGAAUACGUUCCCGGGCCUUGUACACACCGCCCGUCACACCAUGAGAGUUUGUAACACCCAAAGUCGGUGGGGUAACCUUUUAGGAGCCAGCCGCCUAAGGUGGGACAGAUGAUUAGGGUGAAGUCGUAACAAGGUAACC